CUACACUCAUGUUUGCAGAGCUGAAACUGGAAGUAGUAGGGGUCUGAAAUGAAGAAGGUGAAGAGAGGUGGGCUUGGUGUGCUGGCCUUUCCCUGUUAAGGAGAAUUACAGGAAGCCAGUGCUUCUCUCAAAUGCAGCAUUGCUGUGGCCAACAUAUCCUUCUUCCAGACAACUGAAUAUGGAAAAGAAUACAAAAGCAGAGCCAGUCAGUCACCCCUGGGUGGUUGUCAGCGUCUGGAUGGAUGAAUGCAGAACUUAAGAGCAGCCAUCUUCAUCCUGUCACCUGUGUGCCUGAGUCAGAGAUAUUUUAAUCACCCGUUCCUGAUGCACUGAUUACAAAUCACAGUGAAAUUGUGAAAUCUGGGGCCCAGCAGCAAGCUCCUUGGGUGUGAUGCAAGAAUAUUUGGGAGAGCUGUUUUGCUGUGUAAACCAAGCAGUCAAGUGGGAAGGGAGGACUUGACUCAGGCUGGAGGCUGUGAAUGCUUUAGGACAUAGUGGGAUGCCACUGUGUAGCAUCUGUUGAGCUACAGCCACUGCAGCUGCUUUAAUGCCUACCCAAGCUCAGUGAAUGGGCUCCAUCAGAACCGAGCGUGUCUCUUUUAUGCCUGUCUCACCCACGUUUUGGCUGGCAAGGGUGUUUGGACUGAUCCAUCAGCGCCUCACUGAGGGAUGCACCUCACCUUGGCAGACAGGUGGAGAGUGUGUCAGAUGGGACCAUUCCCUGCCAUGAGCCUCGUGGUAUGCUUGCUGCAAAUAAACAGCAUUUGUUGGGAAGUGCAAACGAACUGUCUGGAUGAGGUGCUGGCUCAUACCCAUUGCCUAGCUGCAAGCUGCUGCUCUCCAUCCAGCCCCUCUUGGAGCAAGCAUAAUGCAAAGCAGAUUUAGCUUUCUGUCUCCAUGAAUGUCUGCCUAAGCACCCACUUAGCUGCCAGUCUGGAAAAUGCUGCUGUUGGAGAGGUUACAAUGCAGGGAGCGCAUCCUGAGCCAAAGUGGUGUGCAGGUGAAACAGGGCCUCUGUGCAGAGCUACUGACUGCUCUGGAAAUGAGUUAUUGGUUAGGAAAUGGACUCUGCUUGGAGCUGUGGAGCAAUUUUGUGUUGGUUUCGAAACAAGAUCUGAACAAGCAGGUGAGCA